AUUCCAUGAUGAGGGAAUUUCCAUAAUAAUUCUUUGUAUCAUUCCGAUGCCUCAUAUAAGGACUCAUCAUCCAUUUGUUGGAAUCCAAUGAUCUCGUUUCUCAACUU
rfam:Gossypium hirsutum cultivar TM-1 chromosome 8, whole genome shotgun sequence